CCUCAGCUUCCAAUUGAAAGACAGAAUAGAGAGGGUAACAAAAGAAAAGUAUCAGUAACUUAAAACGGAAAUCCAGAAAAAAUCCAGAUGUAGUAUCGGCUUUUCACUAAAAGUUCAGCAAUUGCAAAUAAAAUUUGCCCUGAAUAGAGUCGAAAUUCUCACCAUCCAAUUAGAAAAACAAACUUAUCAAUGAAUUUCUUUGCCAAAAAUGGAUCCAGAUGGACUGAGUAUUGGCUCUUCUUUCGAACUUAUUUCAACUAUUUUAGUCGAAUAAAAAUUUGAGGGACGAGUAGUCCUACAGCACAUUGAAGUUGCCCGGUAUCCUUGUGCUGCAUGUUGGACACAUUGAGCCAAUUGCACCUGCUGCUUCCAUUUCAUGCUGGUUAGUCUCAUGAUAGAACACACUUCUGCACCAAACACAAACACUUGAGCUCUUACUCCUAUUCUCCUCUGUAUUUGGCAUCAGAGCAUUGUUUCCCAGCCAAAAUGAGGAAUCGAGUCCUUGCUCCAUAUUUGAGUUGUGCGAGAAAACAUUGGACUCCAUGGGAAUAACAUUUGAACUGUUCGAACCCAGAAAACUGUAUUCAACUGGUUCAGAUCUACCUGAG
rnacentral:lncRNA from 1 species